CUCACUUUACACUCAUAGGGGAAUGCUGUACAUUUAGCAAAAGUAUCUCUAAUUUCACAAUCUGGAGUACCUGUACCUUGGGCAUUGAUUGUACCUAACAUCAUCAUGAUUAAAAACAGUAUGAUGCUGUGCAAUUUUAUAAAGAUUACAUUAUCAAGAAACCCCAAUCGGUUUGAUUUAGUCCAUGAAGUAAUGUCCUCUCCAAUCGCAUUCAUGAGAGCAGUCUUUUUGUCCAUAGUGUCUUUUGAUAGUCCAAACAAUUUGUCCUUUUUAAAAUUAAACAGUCUUUGUCCAUGAACAAACAUUAUUGAUUCUGUAAUGAAAAACAGAUGGCAGUUUACUAUUCUUAUACAUUAGUGAGUUUACAUUGAUCAAUAUGCACAAGAAUUGCUUUAUUACAUUUCCUACCAACUUUUGCUCUUUGAACCUGUAAGACAGUUUGUCCUAAUUUCUUUAGAAUAACAUAAGGUCCUUCCCAACCUGCCUGCCAGGGACCUGGUGUUCUAAAUGAUUUUACCAUCACUUUGUAUCCUGGUUUAAACUUAUCUGCAUAAUUCCCCUGAGUUACAUCUUUAACCCAUUGUUUACCAGAAGGGGCCAUAUUCAAAGCAGCAAACUUCAAAACUGACUGCAGCUGUUCUUGUAAUACUUUUAACCAUUCAGCAUGUUCUGCAGCAACUUUGAAAGUACUUGGAACAAAAGGUUCAUUGGGGAAAGUAAUUGGCAUGGUUCUGCCUGUCAUUAACUCAUGAGGUGACACUUGCGUUUUGGAGUUUGGAGUUGCACGAAUAGACAUUAAAACUACUGGUAAGUGUUACCCAACUUACUCCCCUUAUCUUCAAGCAUUUUUUUCAAUCUAGAUUUCAAUGUUCUAUUCAUUCUUUCCACUAUGCCAGCCGACUGUGG